UACGAAGGGGGCUAGCGUUGCUCGGAAUCACUGGGCGUAAAGCGCACGUAGGCGGAUUGCUAAGUCAGGGGUGAAAUCCUGGAGCUCAACUCCAGAACUGCCUUUGAUACUGGCGAUCUCGAGUCCGGGAGAGGUGAGUGGAACUGCGAGUGUAGAGGUGAAAUUCGUAGAUAUUCGCAAGAACACCAGUGGCGAAGGCGGCUCACUGGCCCGGUACUGACGCUGAGGAGCGAAAGCAUGGGGAGCGAACAGG
rnacentral:rRNA from 1 species